AGAUCCUCUUUCUACAGACACCUCUGCUGCACAGAGAACCACACAUGGCUCCUACAAUCACUUGACUUGCAAUGACUUCUUCCAAGGAGCACCUGGCCCUGACCCACAAGGUCAGAAAGCAUUAUUGAGCAGUUCAGGUCUCUGCUGGGUCCAGAGUUCUUCAAAAAAGACCCUGACUGCAAGAUGGAGAAAGCAGACAUUCUGAAGAUGACAGUUGAGUUUGACCAUGGAAGCUCUGUUUCCUGUUAAUCAGCUGCCAACAGGGGACACUCCAGGUGUGUCCAGGAGGUGGUCCACUUCCUGUCUAAGGAUGAGAAGAAGACACUGGCCAACAACAGAAUGUUGGUUCACUUCCAGAACCUUCGGACCUCCUCUGAUAGGCUGACUGAGGGUUGUUCAAUUCAGCUGAGCUCUCCACUCAAGAACAACAUCACCAAAGAGGGAUCAGUUAACAGCGCCAUCUGGAGGCCCUGGUAGAAACCUACACACUGGGUGUGCUAGACAACGUUGACCAUGUUGGUUAUGUCAUGUUGUUGGAAAUAUAGACUAUUAACUCAAUGUGGUAAUUCUUUAUUGUUUAAGAUCACAUUAUUCUUCUAAAAGAAGAAGACCCCCACACAGGUUUCCGCUACGUGUUGUAGUAUACUAUAUCAACUGUCUGUUAUUACAGACUCACACUUUACAGUUUGAUGUUCAAACUGAAUGGCAAUUCUUUCAGAACAUAUUAAGCCUCUUUCUCCCAUGUAAAUAUAGUGCAUGUUUGUGCAUUUAUUUACGUAUAAUUAAUUGCUAAUGAUCAUAUUGAUCUAUUCUGUGUUCUUACUUUAAAUCUGUGAUCUGUAAUCUGUGCUCUAUCAAAUAGUGAUCUGUUUCAAGAUCAAAGAGUAAGUUUUAUCUGUUUACAUACAUAGUAUGAGGUUAUUCUUAUACACACAUGUGGUGAAAUUUGUAUUUUCAGGAAAAUUAACAAUUCAAUUUUCAUUAGCAUUACUAUCCUAAUUGGAUCCUAAAUCAUCACUUUGUGAUGACACGAUUCUGAUCAGUAAUAUGAUUAUGUUGCCAGUAGCCUUUUAUGAUGAAGCAUAAAACCUUGGAUUCAUGAUGAACAUGUGCUUCACGUUUAAGUAUAAUGUCAACUCAAUAUUGUUACAUGUAACAUAUUUGAUAUGUCUUCUAUGAAGACAACGGUUGAAUGUAUAUCCCCUACUCUGUUUGAGUAUAAUGUGUUUUGGAGAUUAUUUUUUUGUGUGAUGUGUCAUCACCUCUACUGGAAUUCAGUUAAAGUUUUACUUUUCUGAAAUCAUCUGUUUGAAUAAACAAACAUGAACUUCAA